rnacentral:lncRNA from 1 species
UGAGCUUCAUCUGCUAGGAGUUUUGAUCAACACUGCCCACAUCCAGACUUAUGGAGGGGACAGUGAUGUGAGGUGGUAUGAUCGCUUCUGUUCCAUAGGCGAGGGAGAAUGGGGUUUCACCAGUCGAUCUUCGUUUGGUGGUGCGAUAAGCCCAUAGUACUCCGGGGAGUUCAUCCACCCAUUUUCCUUCGGCGCCUUCUAGCCUUUUCUUCAAGCAGUCCAAUAUGACUUUGUUGGAUGCCUCGGCUUGUC